rnacentral:lncRNA from 1 species
GUGGAGAAUGCUGAUGAGGACUUGAUCUCACUCAAUAAUAAGGUAUAGAACGAGAUAUCAGUUAGGUCUUUCUGAUGAGAGAGAGAGAUCUUCCCACUGAGGUCAGCUAAUGGUGAUGUUUGUUUGGUACUGAAUGUCUGUAUUACAGAACAUUUCGCUUGUUUCUGUGCAGGGAAAGUCUGCGUCAUCCAAUGUGCUCAAGGCUCUGAAAAAUGUAGACCACACCAGGCGAAGAGGCCAACACCUGCUUUCCAAAAUAGAGGCGCUUUCAAAGAAAAUUCAAGACUUUCUGAACCGGAUGAACUUCACGACUGGUGACCACCUGAAAGAGGCGAUGCGCCUGGUGGAGAUCAUGAGGAGGCAGAACUGCCGUCGCCAGGGGAGACGCGCCCGACAAGAGCAGCAAGAGUCCCACAAACUUCUGCACCAAAUACAGAAACUUCUGGAAACUCUGGCCACAGCUGCUGACAUUGGAAACUCGAUCACAGCUAAUUUGGCAAAGCUGAUGGAUCUGCAAGAGGCACUGGAACAUGCAGAGGAUUUAUUGAGGAUGAUGCAUGAGCUGAACAGUCGCAGCGAGCA